UGCAUAUCCAAAAAGCGGAGCAAAAGAAACUAACAAGGAUUCCCUUAGUAACGGCGAGUGAACCGGGAAAAGCUCAAAUUUGUAAUCUGGCUGUCUUCGAUAGUCCGAGUUGUAAUCUAUAGACGUGUUUUCCGUGCUGGACCGUAUCUAAGUCCCUUGGAACAGGGUAUCAAAGAGGGUGACAAUCCCGUGCUUGAUACGACCACCAGUGCUCUGUGAUACACGCUCUACGAGUCGAGUUGUUUGGGAAUGCAGCUCAAAAUGGGUGGUAAAUUCCAUCUAAAGCUAAAUAUUGGCGAGAGACCGAUAGCGAACAAGUACCGUGAGGGAAAGAUGAAAAGCACUUUGGAAAGAGAGUUAAACAGUACGUGAAAUUGUUGAAAGGGAAACGAUUGAAGUCAGUCGUGUUCUUUGGAUUCAGCUAGUUCUUCUAGUCUACUUCCUUUGAACGGGUCAACAUCAGUUUUGUCCGGUGGAUAAAGAUAGUAGGAAUGUAGCUCCCUCGGGAGUGUUAUAGACUAUUAUUGCAUGCACUGGGUGAGACUGAGGACUGCAGCUCGCCUUUUGGCCGGCCUUCGGGUACGUCGAGCUAGGAUGUGACAUAGCGGG
rnacentral:rRNA from 1 species